UUCACAUUCAUGUACAGUACAUACAAUUCUAUACAAUGUGUUGAUUUCAUCUGCGAGCUUGAAUUGCCGAUGUGCCCAACACCGCACAUUGCCCAGUCUUCUUUUUGACUUCGCAUGUGCAGUUUACAAAUUUUUAUCGCAGCUAAAAUUGUAGAAGAUGGUUUCCAGAUUAUGCCAAGCGGGUGUUACCACAUUAGGAGCAUGCAUAGGAGCAGCUGUAUCUAUUUGGGCGCUUGAACGGAGGAGCCCAAUUAUCACGGUUGACAAUGCUGCAGUUCGUCCCCCAAAAAGGAAGCGCACACUACCACCCCGUAGCGAACAAAUCAAAUCACUACAAAGUGGAGAAGAAUAUGAUGUACUUAUUAUUGGUGGGGGUGCAACUGGAUCCGGAUGUGCGCUUGACUCUGUGACUAGAGGUUUGAAAACUGCACUUGUUGAAGCGGACGAUUUUGCGAGUGGUACCUCAUCAAGAUCCACAAAACUUAUCCAUGGCGGCGUAAGAUACUUGCAGAAAGCUAUCCUUGGACUAGACUACGAGCAAUAUCGUAUGGUAAAAGAAGCUUUAGCAGAGAGAGCGUCUAUGUUAGAGUCAGCUCCCCAUUUGGCUCACCCUCUACCAAUUAUGCUUCCAGUAUAUCAAUGGUGGCAGGUUCCUUACUUUUGGGUUGGAAUAAAAGCUUACGAUUUGGUGGCUGGCGACCGAAAUGUUAAGAGCUCAUAUUAUUUGUCCAAAAAAGAUGCUCUGGAACUAUUUCCCAUGUUGAAAAAGGAUAAGCUGUGUGGAGCUAUUGUUUAUUAUGAUGGUCAACAGGAUGAUGCAAGAAUGGCCCUAGCAGUUGCUCUCACAGCUGCACGACAUGGAGCAACCGUUUGUAACCAUGUUGAGGUAUUAAAAUUGCUGAAAAAGCCAGAUGGUAGCGGAAAUGACGUUCUGUGUGGUGCAGAACUUGUCGAUCAUAUAUCAGGAAAGAAAUUCACUGUUAAGGCCAAAUGUAUCAUUAAUGCCACUGGUCCAUUUACGGACAGUAUUCGUAAAAUGGAUGACCCUACUGUCAAGAGUAUAUGCUGUCCAAGCUCAGGAGUGCACAUUGUUCUUCCUGGCUACUACAGCCCCGACCAGAUGGGUUUGUUGGAUCCCAGUACCUCAGAUGGAAGAGUUAUUUUCUUCUUACCUUGGCAAAGACAGACAAUUGCCGGAACAACAGAUUUACCUUGCGAAAUUACGCACAAUCCCAGUCCCACCGAAGACGAAAUUCAAUUUAUUUUAAGUGAAAUCAAAAAUUAUCUUAACGCUGAUGUUGAAGUGAGGAGAGGUGAUGUGCUCUCAGCUUGGAGUGGUAUUCGUCCCUUGGUGUCAGAUCCAAAUAAGGAAGACACUCAAUCACUUGCUAGAAACCAUAUUGUACAUGUAAGCCCCUCAAAGCUGGUGACCAUUGCUGGUGGAAAAUGGACAACUUACAGAGCAAUGGCAGAACACACCCUUGAUGCAGCAAUUAAAGCAUGUAACUUAAAACCGGAAAGAGCCGAAGCUGUAACAUCGUACUUAAAAAUUGAGGGCGGCCAAGGUUGGACACCAACAAUGUACAUUCGACUUGUGCAAGAUUUUGGCUUGGAAUGCGAAGUUGCCCAGCAUUUAGCUAAAUCAUAUGGUGAUCGAGCUUUUGCCGUUUCAAAGAUGGCAUCUUUGACAGGCAAGAGAUGGCCAAUUAUUGGCAACAGAAUUCAUCCCGAGUUCCCCUACAUUGACGCUGAAAUCAGAUAUGGUAUUCGCGAAUACGCUUGUAAUGCUGUGGAUAUGAUUGCAAGAAGACUUCGAUUGGCGUUCUUGAACGUGCAAGCUGCUCAAGAAGCUUUGCCUGUUAUAAUUGACAUUAUGGGCGAAGAAUUAAAAUGGUCCAAGGAUCAGAAAAUAGCUGAAAUGAAACGAGCUACCGAUUUCUUGGCAAAUGAAAUGGGACAACAUGUUAAUAGGCAAUCCAAGGACAAGAUUCCAAUUGCCCUUUCUGAAGACGAAAAGCAAUUGUACAUAAAACGCUUCAAGUUGAUUGACAAAGACAACAAGGGAUAUGUUUCAAUCACUGACAUACGCCGUGCUAUGAAGAGUUUCGGAGAAGCUGAUGUAUCAGGAGAACAAUUGCAUGAAAUUCUUCGGGAAAUCGAUACAAAUAUGAAUGGACAAGUUGAGCUCGACGAAUAUUUACAGAUGAUGUCUGCCAUUAAAACCGGAAAUGUGGCGUAUUCAAGAUUCGCAAGAAUGGCUGAAUUAGAGGAACAAAAACACGAAGCAGAUAACCUCAAAGGCUUACAUAAGUAACAGCGGGCGUUAAAUUUGCUUUAUAUAUUUCAUCUUGCUGCGUAAAAUCUUCUGAACUCUCCACUUCGAAUCACAAGCGGCGGCAGCAGCUAGAUACUUAAAAGCGGAUAGUUCUAACUAAUAUAAGUCUACAUGUGAUGUAAAUAAUAUUUAUUUAGCAACCUGCCGUUUCAAUUAUAAUUAUUAUUCCCUCUAUUGAUUAAUUAAUUAAUUAAUUGUAUGUAAAUUCUUAAUUUGUGUUCUCCUUAAGUGUAUUUGUACCUACUUACAAUAAUUUUAAUUUUGUAUAAUAAAAGUUCAGUUGUUGAUACAUUAAAGUUAUUUGUUUAACACUAAA